GUGCCUAACACAUGCAAGUCGAGCGAGAACGUCUCCUUCGGGGGAUUAGUAAAGCGGCGCACGGGUGAGUAACACGUAGGUAACCUACCUUGGGGUCUGGGAUAACCUGUCGAAAGAUGGGCUAAUACCGGAUAAGCUCACGGGAGUUGCGGCUCUUGUGGGAAAAGAUGGCCUCUUCAUGAAAGCUAUCGCUCCGAGAUGGGCCUGCGGGCCAUUAGCUAGUUGGUGAGGUAACGGCUCACCAAGGCUCAGAUGGCUAGCUGGUCUGAGAGGAUGGUCGGCCACACUGGGACUGAGACACUGCCCAGACUCCUACGGGAGGCUGCAGUCGAGAAUCUUUCGCAAUGCGCGCAAGCGUGACGAAGCGACGCCGCGUGGACGAUUAAGGCCUUCGGGUUGUAAAGUCCUGUCACAUAGGAAGAAACGUAUGGUUGACAAUACCUUCCAUACCUGACUUAACUAUGAGAGGAAGCUCCGGCUAACUCCGUG
rnacentral:rRNA from 1 species